rnacentral:tRNA from 1 species
GGCUACGUAGCUCAGCUGGUUAGAGCACCACACUCAUAAUGUGGGAGUCGGUGGUUCGAAUCCACCCGUAGCCA